rnacentral:miRNA from 1 species
UUAGUAGGCGUUGUGGGAAG